UGGGGAAUAUUGCACAAUGGGCGAAAGCCUGAUGCAGCAACGCCGCGUGAGCGAUGAAGGCCUUCGGGUCGUAAAGCUCUGUCCUCAAGGAAGAUAAUGACGGUACUUGAGGAGGAAGCCCCGGCUAACUACGUGCCAGCAGCCGCGGUAAUACGUAGGGGGCUAGCGUUAUCCGGAAUUACUGGGCUUAAAGGGUGCGUAGGUGGUUUCUUAAGUCAGAGGUGAAAGGCUACGGCUCAACCGUAGUAAGCCUUUGAAACUGGGAAACUUGAGUGCAGGAGAGGAGAGUGGAAUUCCUAGUGUAGCGGUGAAAUGCGUAGAUAUUAGGAGGAACACCAGUUGCGAAGGCAACUCACAAAGCCAUUAUUGACGCUGAGGCACGAAAGUGUGGGGAUCAAACA
rnacentral:rRNA from 1 species